UUUCCUGUUGUCCAUUGGUAGAGCAUUGCACUAACAACUCAAAGGUUACUGGUUCAAAUCCUUGGGAAAG